rnacentral:rRNA from 1 species
CCUAUGCAUGCAAGUCGUACGCACGCGCUUCGGCGCGUGAGUGGCGCACGGCUGAGUAACACGUGGGAACCCGCCCUCCGGUGGGGGAUAACGCGACGAAAGUCGCGCUAAUCCCGCAUACGUCCGCAAGGGGAAAGCGCUUCGGCGCGCCGGAGGAGGGGCCUGCGGCCCAUCAGGUGGUUGGUGGGGUAACGGCCUACCAAGCCGAUGACGGGUAGCUGGUCUGGGAGGAUGACCAGCCAGACUGGGACUGAGACACGGCCCAGACUCCUACGGGAGGCAGCAGCAAGGAAUUUUCGGCAAUGGGCGCAAGCCUGACCGAGCAACGCCGCGUGCGGGAUGACGGCCUUCGGGUUGUAAACCGCUUUUCGGGGGGACGACUACGACGGUACCCCCGGAAGAAGCCCCGGCUAACUCUGUGCCAGCAGCCGCGGUAAGACAGAGGGGGCGAGCGUUGUCCGGAGUUACUGGGCGUAAAGCGCGCGCAGGCGGUGGUCUCAGUGUCGUGUGAAAGCCCCCGGCUCAACCGGGGGAGGUCAUGGCAAACUAGACGACUGGAGCGGCGGA